rnacentral:rRNA from 1 species
AACGAACGCUGGCGGCAUGCCUAACACAUGCAAGUCGAACGAGAUCUUCGGGUCUAGUGGCGCACGGGUGCGUAACGCGUGGGAAUCUGCCCUUUGGUUCGGAAUAACAGUUGGAAACGACUGCAAAUACCGGAUGAUGACGAAAGUCCAAAGAUUUAUCGCCAGAGGAUGAGCCCGCGUAGGAUUAGCUAGUUGGUGUGGUAAAGGCGCACCAAGGCGACGAUCCUUAGCUGGUCUGAGAGGAUGAUCAGCCACACUGGGACUGAGACACGGCCCAGACUCCUACGGGAGGCAGCAGUGGGGAAUAUUGGACAAUGGGCGAAAGCCUGAUCCAGCGAUGCCGCGUGAGUGAUGAAGGCCUUAGGGCUGUAAAGCUCUUUUACCCGGGAUGAUAAUGACAGUACCGGGAGAAUAAGCUCCGGCUAACUCCGUGCCAGCCGCCGCCGUAA